CUGGUUGAUCCUGCCAGUAAUCAUAUGCUUGUCUUAAAGAUUAAGCCAUGCAUGUCUAAGUAUAAGCACGUUGAACGGCGAAACUGCGAACGGCUCCUUAAAUCAGUUAUAGUUUAUUUGAUCGUACCUACUACUUGGAUAACCGUAGUAAUUCUAGAGCUAAUACAUGCUGAAAGGCCCGACUUUUUGGAAGGGUUGCAUUUAUUAGAUAUAAAGCCGAUACCGGGGGGGCAACUCCUCGGUUUUGGUGAUUCAUAAUAACUACGCGGAUCGCAUGGCCUUGUGCCGGCGACGCUUCGAUCAAAUUUCUGCCCUAUCAACUAUGAUGGUAGUGUAUUGGACUACCAUGGUAGUAACGGGUGACGGAGAAUUAGGGUUCGAUUCCGGAGAGGGAGCUUGAGAAAUGGCUACCACUUCCAAGGAAGGCAGCAGGCGCGCAAAUUACCCAAUGUCAAUACGAUGAGGUAGUGACGAGAAAUAACGAUACGGGCCGUGCAAACGGCUCGUAAUCGGAAUGAGCACAAUUUAAACCCCUUAGCGAGGAACAAUUGGAGGGCAAGUCUG
rnacentral:rRNA from 1 species